UACGGAGGAUUCGAGCGUUAUCCGGAUUUAUUGGGUUUAAAGGGAGCGUAGGCGGGUUGUUAAGUCAGUUGUGAAAGUUUGCGGCUCAACCGUAAAAUUGCAGUUGAUACUGGCAUCUUUGAGUACAGUAGAGGUAGGCGGAAUUCGUGGUGUAGCGGUGAAAUGCUUAGAUAUCACGAAGAACUCCGAUUGCGAAGGCAGCCUGCUGGACUGUAACUGACGCUGAUGCUCGAAAGUGUGGGUAUCAAACAGG
rnacentral:rRNA from 1 species